rnacentral:rRNA from 1 species
CGGCGGACGGGCGAGUAAUGUCUGGGAAACUGCCUGAUGGAGGGGGGUAACUACUGGAAACGGUAGCUAAUACCGCAUAACGUCUUCGGACCAAAGUGGGGGACCUUCGGGCCUCACGCCAUCGGAUGUGCCCAGAUGGGAUUAGCUAGUAGGUGGGGUAAUGGCUCACCUAGGCGACGAUCCCUAGCUGGUCUGAGAGGAUGACCAGCCACACUGGAACUGAGACACGGUCCAG